rnacentral:rRNA from 1 species
CGGCUCAGAUUGAACGCUGGCGGCAGGCUUAACACAUGCAAGUCGAGCGGUAACAGGAGAAGCUUGCUUCUCGCUGACGAGCGGCGGACGGGUGAGUAAUACUUAGGAAUCUACCUAGUAGUGGGGGAUAGCUCGGGGAAACUCGAAUUAAUACCGCAUACGACCUACGGGAGAAAGGGGGCAACUUGUUGCUCUCGCUAUUAGAUGAGCCUAAGUCGGAUUAGCUAGAUGGUGGGGUAAAGGCCUACCAUGGCGACGAUCUGUAGCUGGUCUGAGAGGAUGAUCAGCCACACCGGGACUGAGACACGGCCCGGACUCCUACGGGAGGCAGCAGUGGGGAAUAUUGGACAAUGGGGGCAACCCUGAUCCAGCCAUGCCGCGUGUGUGAAGAAGGCCUUUUGGUUGUAAAGCACUUUAAGCAGUGAAGAAGACUCCAUGGUUAAUACCCAUGGACGAUGACAUUAGCUGCAGAAUAAGCACCGGCUAACUCUGUGCCAGCAGCCGCGGUAAUACAGAGGGUGCAAGCGUUAAUCGGAAUUACUGGGCGUAAAGCGAGCGUAGGUGGCUUGAUAAGUCAGAUGUGAAAGCCCCGGGCUUAACCUGGGAACGGCAUCUGAUACUGUUAGGCUAGAGUAGGUGAGAGGAAGGUAGAAUUCCAGGUGUAGCGGUGAAAUGCGUAGAGAUCUGGAGGAAUACCGAUGGCGAAGGCAGCCUUCUGGCAUCAUACUGACACUGAGGUUCGAAAGCGUGGGUAGCAAACAGGAUUAGAUACCCUGGUAGUCCACGCCGUAAACGAUGUCUACUAGUCGUUGGGUCCCUUGAGGACUUAGUGACGCAGCUAACGCAAUAAGUAGACCGCCUGGGGAGUACGGCCGCAAGGUUAAAACUCAAAUGAAUUGACGGGGGCCCGCACAAGCGGUGGAGCAUGUGGUUUAAUUCGAUGCAACGCGAAGAACCUUACGUGGUCUUGACAUAUCUAGAAUCCUGCAGAGAUGCGGGAGUGCCUUCGGGAAUUAGAAUACAGGUGCUGCAUGGCUGUCGUCAGCUCGUGUCGUGAGAUGUUGGGUUAAGUCCCGCAACG